rnacentral:lncRNA from 1 species
AUGGCUUCGGAAAGAUUGCUGAUUUUGCAACCACAUAAUUGGGCUUCGAGGAGAGACCAUGACAUGAUGUUAUACUACAACAGGUGUGUAAUGUGUAAUGUUGGUACCUUUUCCCCAAAAUUAUAUCUAAAUUUAUUUGGCUGAUCCUGUUGUUAAUGGUGAAGGCCAGGGACUAGCAUUUGCAUGGCUUUUGCCUCAGAAGAGAAGGCAGAAGUUCUAGAACCAUUUCUUGAGAAAUUGCAUCUGCUGCGGCUUGAACCAUCGUGGAAACCUUUACAUCACUCAAGUAAAUUUGAAGUCUCUUAG